GGGAAGGUGGCGGAACGGCAGACGCGGCGGACUUAAAAUCCGCUGAGGUAACUCCUCGUGUGGGUUCGAAUCCCACCCUUCCUA
rnacentral:tRNA from 1 species